GCUGGCGUAGCUCAGUUGGUAGAGCAACGGUUUCGUAAACCGUAGGUCGUGGGUUCAAGUCCCUCCGCCAGCUCCA
rnacentral:tRNA from 2 species